rnacentral:tRNA from 1 species
GCGGCAGUAGCUCAGUGUUAGAGCCCCUGCUUCGCAAGCGGGGAGACCCGGGUUCGAUUCCCGGCUGCUUCC